rnacentral:rRNA from 1 species
UACGUAGGGGGCUAGCGUUGUCCGGAAUCAUUGGGCGUAAAGAGCGUGUAGGCGGCCCGGUAAGUCCGCUGUGAAAGUCGGGGGCUCAACCCUCGGAUGCCGGUGGAUACUGUCGGGCUUGAGUACGGAAGAGGCGAGUGGAAUUCCUGGUGUAGCGGUGAAAUGCGCAGAUAUCAGGAAGAACACCAAUGGCGAAAGCAGCUCUCUGGGACGGUACUGACGCUGAGACGCGAAAGCGUGGGGAGCGAACAGG